GGGAGUUAAAUAUAACCGUGCCUAGUGUAAGGAGAAGAGUGAAUGGGAAAUGGUUGGCAUUCCUUCUUCCUGAAGGCACGGCGAGAGAGGGAGCGGGCGAGAGCCGUGCACACACGCAGCCACACAGCCGCACAGACGCGCGGCCGGCGAGGAAGAGGAAGCGAGCAGGAGGCAGAGCGGAGCCCGCAGCUCGCCGUGCCCGCGGCUGGCAGCAGCAUGCCCACCCUCAGCAUGGCCACCUGGGGACUGUACCUGCAGCUUCUCUCCUGCUGGGCUUUCUCUCACAGCCCCUACGCUGACAAUGCCUUCUCACUCUCAGCAGAUCUCCCUUGUUUGGAACAGAAGCAGCAGCCUCCCCACAGAGCGUGCUGCUUCCUCAUCCCGCCGCCGCCGCCCAUGUUCCCGCCACCACGCCUCAGGCACGACUGGAGCUCUAAGCUGCUUGAUCUGGACAUGAAGGAGUUGUGUCAAGAGCUCCAGACAACACAGGCCUUCUCUCUGCCUGAGUCACGUUGCCCUGCAGGGCCUCCUGGCCCCCAGGGUCCACAAGGAAUUCCUGGUAUAAUGGGACCAAAAGGGGAGAAAGGGGAGAUUGGCAGGCCAGGAAGAAAGGGUAGACCAGGUCCCCCGGGUGUCCCUGGGAUGCCAGGACCAAUAGGAUGGCCUGGACCUGUGGGACUGAAGGGUGAAAAGGGAGAUGUGGGUGUGAUGGGAUUGCCAGGUACCAGAGGACCAAUGGGCUCCAAGGGUUUUCCAGGAACUAGAGGAGAAAAGGGUUCCAGAGGGGACAGGGGUGACAAAGGAGUCAAAGGAGACCAGGGAGAAACAGGCUCCCCCGGAAUGCUGGGACAGAAAGGAGAGAUGGGCCCAAAGGGACAAUCUGGAGCACCAGGACACAGAGGACCUAUAGGAAGACCUGGAAAACGAGGCAAACAAGGGCAAAAGGGAGACAUUGGACCUGUGGGUAUCAUGGGCCCACCUGGAAGGCCUGGUCCUUCUGGCCAGCCAGGCCCCCCUGGACCUUCAGGAUUAGGGCAAUUUGCAAUAGGACCAAAAGGGGAAAGAGGACUUCCAGGACCUCCAGGAAGAUGCCACUGCAGACCCCCACAACAUGUGAAUAAUCCACCAUAUGAGGAGUCUGUGUUUGGACACAGGUAUCCAAAAGUCCCUGCGAUUUUUGUGGUGAAUAAUCAAGAAGAAUUGGACCGAUUACACACUGAAAAUGCCUUAGCUUUUAGAAGAGACCAGAGAUCUUUGUAUUUCAAGGAUACCUUUGGAUGGCUCCCAGUCCAGCUCACCCCUUUCUACCCUGUGGAUUACCGUGUUGAGGUUGGCAGUACGUGUGGAGAUGGGAUCGUUCAGGAUGGGGAAGAGUGUGACGACGGCAACACGGUCGUGACGGAUGACUGCAUAAGAUGUCGCCGUGCUUACUGCGGAGAUGGCUACAGACAUGAAGGGGUGGAAGACUGUGAUGGAAAGGAUUUUGGAUAUCUGACAUGUAAAACAUAUCUCCCUGGGGCAGGAUACACCAUGAUGAAGAGAUGAUCAUGUUGGAGGAAAGAAAACCAACCAACCAAACCACAGCCUCCAAACAACCUCCCGUACUUUUAAUGAGUCCUCUAGAGGUAUUUUUGUUUCUGAAACAACUAUUCAUCUAUCAGCCUUUUUAAAAACCAGGAAAUUCACUCAGAAGACGGGGUAUACAUCUGCUUAGCAACACCUUUCCUUUCAAACAUCUGUGCACUGUUGACUUGCCUCCUCUGCCUUUGUUCAAGCAGCCUCCUCUGGUGAGCAUUUUGCCUCAAGCAGCAGCACCUCUAUUUAACUGUCAGGUAUUGUUACCCGAUAACAGGAAACAUUUAAUUUGCAAAUGAAAUUAUGUGCAGAGCCUUCAUCAUUCAUGGAAGAAUAAUGUGCUAAUUGACAGGAAUAAGAAACCACAGGACAUCUUUGUAAAGCAAGUGCUGUGCUAAUCCUUCCAUUGCAGUUGUUGGAGCAUGCCUGGAGUAAGAGAUUACUAAAAUUGAGACUAGUAAACCUGACAGCCCAAAACAUUUUAAAGAGCUCCCAUCUGCAGACAGUGUGGAGCUGCUCGCCUGUGAAAGCUGUUCCAUCUUAAGAAUAGGAAGUUUGCUGCCGAAACGAGACCCACAAAAGCUUGAGAAAGUUUUAUAAAUUUUAUUUUCCACAUAUAAUCAAGUAGUGAAAAACCAUUUAGAUCCUUUAUCUUUGUGUUUGCAGUCUGUAGGUUACUUGCUUAAUCAAAGAAAGAGCUGUGACUCAUCAGUAAAAUGAGGUGAAUACAUGAGCUUGGCACUGCAACAGGAGCUUCACCCUCUUCUCCAACACCUCUUCUGCAACUGAUUUUCCCAUUAUCUGUACUUUUUCCAGUCCCAAGUCCCUCCUCACGUUUCAUAGAUCUUCUCUUCAAAUUUUUGUUCUGUUUCUGAGUAAGUGGUUUAUCCAAGAGCACAUUUCAAAGGACUGGUGCAUUUACUACCGUUUGUGGAUUAUCUGAUGGAUGAGUUAUUCACUUGCACUCAUAGCAAUAUGUUUGGGAGCUGUUGAGUCACAGCCUGAGCCUCUGAUUGACCACCUGAGGUGAGCACUGAGUCAGCCAUGGAGCACAGGUGAAGGCAAUUCAGCUGUGUGACCAGAAGGGGUGGAAGCUGGCUACACCUCUCCUAAACUCCAAUUAAGGGCUGACUGCCACUAGGAAGGAUCUCUUUCUGGAGAUCCCUCCUCUGUGGAGUCUUUCCUGUGAACCUAGAUUUUGGAUACAGGUCUUAUGGAAAAUUGCGAUGCACUUCUUACUGCUACAUUGACUCUACACAGUGCCGAUACUUCACAUGAGGGGAGCAGAGAAGGGCAGCAUCCCACACGUCGUGGGGUGCGAGGUGCUAUGCUGUUGUCUAGCUGAGAAGGUCUGGGAUUUAAAAAAGAAAAAAAGAAAAAAAAAAAAAAGAAGAAAAAAGAAAAAAGCCAUCUCUGUGAAAACAAACAGACUUCGUGCUUCUGAUGGCCAUUUUGAGAUGUUUGUCUUUUUUUUUUUUUUUUUAAUUAAUUAAGCCAGAUUCUGAAAAACUAGGACCACUGUAUCCUGUCUUAAUAGAUAAACAGUGUUUGCCAGUAAGACUCGUGGGCUGUGUGUGGGGACUUCUCUGUCACAAAUGCUACAGGAAACCAAAUGCCACUAACCAGGAAUACUGUGUACAAGACAACGUUACCUCGGCUUAGCACUGUUCAGCCUAAAUUAAGUUCUUCAGGGUUUUUGUUUUUCAGCUUUUUCAGCAUAAACACAAAGCAUGUGUUGGACACAGUGUUUAUGGAGACUUUCUCUUUUAUUACAAUGUGAACUUCCUUCAUGUUGUCUCCAGGGGGGUGUGAUGGUGGCUUCAGCAGCAUUGUGAUUAGCUGCACACCUUUGUGGCUCAGAGGAGCAGAGACCUUCCUGCAAAUGCUUUAAGGAUCAGCAGAUGAGGCAAAAAAAAAAACUCCAGGAAAAUGGUUGGCUAUCACACCAGGCCACAGGCCACGAAGGCCAAAGGGGACAACCAAAUGGUGAUGCAGCCAAGGUGCUCUCACUCCAAGGAGGACAUCAGGCUGGGAGCAAAGAUGCAGGAUGAGCUGAUUUCACUUUUCGCCUUUGCCAAGCCAGCUGCAUUCUGUGUGAGCCCAACAGGACUGCGGAAGUGCUGGGUCAGCAAGGCUGCCCACCUGGAACCUCAAUGCAGCCAGGCCUGCACUCUGGUCAUGGUGCUGGAAGGCCUUGUUCUUCUCUCAUGGUCUACCCAGACUCCAUCCUUCCACGAUGGCUGUACCCAUCCUGUGUACCGACUCCUCUGGCCUGCUCUCCUGCUCCUGUUGUGCUUGGAGCAUGCUGCAAUGUGCCGCCUCACUUUUGUAUCCCUGUGACACCAAUCCUGGCCUAAUGUGCUUGUGGGUGCUCAUUCAUGCUGUAUGAUGUACGUAUAUCUCUGCUUUUCAGGACGUUUGGUCAAUUCUGCUAGCUCUGAUAGGAGUCAGGGUAAUUACCUACUUAUUUAUUAGCACGCAUUCAAGAACAGAUUUCAUAGGGGAAGCAUAUUUAAUACUGUAUAUACAAAAGAGUUCAUAACAGAAGAAAAUGGUACAAAGAUGUGUGGAGUUCAGGACUAAGAGCUCAAACCAAGGUGUGAUUUUUUUUUCAUGCAGGCCACUCUUUGCUGCUUUGCUGUAAAUGCUGUACUUGAAUGUUUCAAGUGUGUGAGUUGCUUGUCACAAUAGGAGAACCACAGCAGCUGCACUUGGUUACCUCUUAAAGGUUGAAUAAAGGGUGGAUAAUGCAUUAAAGCAAGCAGGAAUAUAUGCAACUUCUACCACUUGUAUAGGAGACUUUAGCUCUGCAUGUCCAAAGUGAUACUGGAAAUCGUCAAUUAAAAGCUAAAUAAAAUUAAUGUAUUUUA